AGUGUCAAUUUCAAUUUUUUUUUAUUACUUAGUGAUAUAAAUAACUUACACAACACGAUAUGUCUAAAUAGAAUAUUCUUUGAAUAGUAUGUGACGAACGCAACAUAUCACAAAUGUAUUUUAUCUUAAUAUUGUUUGUAUUACGGCAUAUGCGUUCGAUACUUUCAGCUGCCUUCUCUUUCAGCACUGGCGGGCAUUCCCUCUUCAGAAUUCAAGGAACUAACUUGCUUAUAACUCUCGCCUUUCUGUACCUUUUUCGGUAACGCCGCGACUGGGGACCGGUAAGGUGGGUCACUCAGCACGCUAGUUCGAAUCCUGCACCAAUGGUCUGGGAUGAAAAGGAAGGGCAACCACGGUCCCCGCCUGUCAGACCAAAGCCAUUGGGAAGAGCGCACUGUCCUUACUCGUGGCGUAAACCCGAAUCAUUGUUAUUAUUAAACGAUGAAUUUCUUUUUUGUCACACUGCUGAGUUUCGACCAGAAACCUGAAGCAACAAAAAGAAUAUCUUAGGAAGAAGCUCUUAUAGUGCCCAUUUACUAGAUCAGUGUUACUUAACCGGGGUGCGAGGCCGUUCCUAGGGGGUACAAGGAUGCAAAACAUAUUUUUGCAUGCGCGGUAUUUUUAUCACACACAAAAAAAAACUUUGUCAAUAAAGAAAGAAUAAGAAAAAACAUGAGAUCCUAUUUGUAAUUCGGGAAAGACUGCUGAUGUGAAAAGAGCACGUCCACUGAAAAAGGUUAGAACCAUGUACUUGGACAACAUAUCAAACUCCCUAGCAGACACAUUUUUAUUUGUUGAUACGGACACAUCAGUCAAAAUCCAGGUUUUUUCCCUUGUGUUUUUUAUGAUUAUGUCUGGCCUAUUCACUUGAAUGGUUCUCUCAGAAGUUAUGCAGAAAUCCCGGAGAAUUGUGACCUUGUCAUUCUCUAUCACAGGUGGCAGCUUGUGUUCUUACCAUUAGUAUCAUGAUAUGUAAAUUUAUUUCUAUUAUUAUUAUUAUUGUUAUGACUAACA